AAAGCGGGGUAGUUCCAAAGCAAAGGGGUGACUUGACCGAGCUUUUUCAAAAAAAACAAAGAGAAUCGACGAUUUAGGGGUCUAAAUCGGCGAUUUUGACUUUUGGAUCUUUUUUUAACAGAGCCGUGGACAACACUCUUAACUAGCAGACGAUAUUCUCAGGGUGAAGUCGGCGAUUUCUGAAGAAAUCUAACCAAAGCUUCAGACAAGAAUCAGCUACUUUUGAUCUAAAUCGGCAAUUUUAGUUGACAGAGUCAGCGAUCUCUCCGAGAGAAAUCAAGCCGGACUUUGCAAAAAAAAUUCGUGAUUACGACGGGAUACCAGUGGUUUGGUAGUCCCACAGAUGGCGCCAUCUGCUGAAGCACUGAAUCUGCUACCAGGGGCUCGUGGUGGUGCGAGGAGGACCGGAGGCUCUACGUCAAAUCCUGUCGGAGAAGAAUAGGCGAUUUAGGUUGUAGCGGAACAUGUGUUUUGCGUUUGAGUGGCCCUUUAGGAUCCUUUUUAUAGAGCCUCGAGGGGCGCACUCAGCGGCGGACAUGCGCCCGUUGCCAUAAUAGGGUGCAUUUGUGGCCCAUUAUGGCGCGGGCAGGCGACGAGUAACGAUCGUAAAUCGACGAUUCAAAUAUGGAUCAGAAUCGCCUAUUUAGUGGCAAACUCGCCGAGUUUCAAGGGACAAGAUGUUCAGUCUACAAUGCUGCCGAUCUUGGCCUUAACUCUGUGAU
rnacentral:lncRNA from 1 species